UGAGGAAUAUUGGUCAAUGGACGAGAGUCUGAACCAGCCAAGUAGCGUGCAGGAUGACGGCCCUAUGGGUUGUAAACUGCUUUUGUUUGGGAAUAAUCGACAUUACGUGUAAUGUUUUGCAUGUACCAUUCGAAUAAGGACCGGCUAAUUCCGUGCCAGCAGCCGCGGUAAUACGGAAGGUCCAGGCGUUAUCCGGAUUUAUUGGGUUUAAAGGGAGUGUAGGCGGUUGGUUAAGCGUGUUGUGAAAUGUAGAUGCUCAACAUCUGACUUGCAGCGCGAACUGGCUGACUUGAGUACACACAACGUAGGCGGAAUUCAUGGUGUAGCGGUGAAAUGCUUAGAUAUCAUGAAGAACUUCGAUUGCGAAGGCAGCUUACGGGAGCGCAACUGACGCUGAAGCUCGAAGGUGCGGGUAUCGAACAGG
rnacentral:rRNA from 1 species